UUUGUUGCCCACGCCCAGCUCCCCUGGCUCUAGCAGCACAGAAAUAUUGGCACUGGGAAGAAAGCCUGCCAAUAUUGGCUGUGCUGCUCCAGGCAGGGUGGUGAGAGCUGCCGAGGAGGGG
rnacentral:pre_miRNA from 8 species